GUAAGUGUUCUUCUGCAUCAUUUAAUAUGGUUCAUCAAUUUCUUUCAACUGGUUCACUAAUUAUUUUGUAUGGCUUAGGAGUCCUUUAGAACUAUGUACGUAUGUGCUUCGAAGUUAGAAUGUGAAAAGAUAAAGUCAACUUUCUUGUUUGAGAAAGUCUUCUACUUCUUUAGUCAUUAGGAAGGAAAUUUGUGCAUUCUUUCAGAGUUUCUUUAUUGAGCUAGGGACUUCAAAAAGAUCUGUAUUGAAAUUUGCAAGAAGCAAAGGUGCAAGAAAUGCUUCUAGGUAGCUACUCUGAUAUAUCAGUCGAUUCUAGGUUUAUACAUGACAGCCUUCUCUUGCUGCUUUCCAGACCUUUUAGAUAGUGUGCAUUGAUAGAUACUUAUAUGCAACAUAAAUAUUUUUGUAGAUGAAGAUUGUAAUUCCCUAACUAAGGUAAAGGAAAAAUUGAGGACUAUUCAACUUUGCAUCUUCAUUUUUACCCUUGAAGAGAUAUUUCAUAGUUAUUUUGGUUUCUUACCAAAUCAUUUUUGUUUGUUAGUAUGGUGUUCCCCUUCCCAAUAGAAAGUUUAAAAAAAGUGGAGUUUUCUUCAGUUUUUGGUCGCGUUAAUAAAUUGAUGUAUGUGUUUUAAGGGUUUUUGGUUGAUGAAUUAAAUUUGGUGUAGCAUUAUUGCUAGAGUCAUUUUGGUUAGGCCAGAGCAUUAAUUUUUUUUAGAAUAUUGAAUUGACUUAAUUGCCAUUAUUGAUUAAAAUUAUAUUGGAAGGUAUUUUUUUAGAAAUGAAAUUGGAAUUUUCUUUUUCUCUUUCUUGCCAGAAAUCUCAUUUCAUUUUUCUAAGCAAAUGAAUUGAGGACCUAAAAUCAAGCCAUUAUUCAUUAUACUUAAAUAGGGCCCUAAACUCAAGCCAUUAAAGCUUUCAAACUGACAGUUCCAUACUAUGUUCAUAGGCCAUUGCAGGAUUAUCUAGCAAUUCCAACGAACUGAUUAAUUUCCUCUUUGAAAUCAAGAGGCCUAUGCCGUGUUCAUAGGCCAUAACAAGUUUAACUAGCAAUUCUGUAGAAUUAGUAAUUUCCUCGUGUUCUGCAAACUAAUGGGAGAUUCGUUAUUAUAAUAAUAAAAAUUACCUUGGAAAUUUUAAUUCUAGUGUCCAGCAUUAACAAUGGCAUAAUGAGAUGCCAUUGAUUAAGAAGACUAUAAAUUGAAUUUUAUGGAAACAAACCAUUUUUUCCUAUAGUAUGCAACAUUACAGUUUCAUUUUGAUUAAAUAGAAGAGGCAAUUAUGUCAAAUUACUGUAACAAAAAUGGCUCUAGCAAUAAUGCUACCCUAAAUUUAGAAGAGCAUAGAACAAUUUAAAUGAAGCUUGAGUGGAAUGGUGGUUGGAUGACUCUGUAACACCUUGUGGGUGCUAGGGUAGGUUUUAAGGUAUUUAGGUUUGUCAUCAUUGUUCAUCUCUAUGAUUUUAUGGAAAUGAGUAUCUAAUUAAGCUUGGGAGAUGAAGUAUUUACUUUUCUACAGCCAAUGCUUUUUUCUUUAAUAGUUGCUUGCUCUUUCUUUUUGAGUAUCAGACAAGAUUGACAUUGAUUUUGUUCUCAAAAAGAAUAUCAUGUAGUAACAAAAUUUAAUUUUUGCAAUGCCUUUUUUAGAUUUAGCAUUAAUUGGAGGUAUUGGGGCUUAAUUUUCUAACGCUUUUGCCGUAUUAGUGCAAACACAAUGAAUCUAUUGUAGAAAUAUAUCUAGGAAUUAAUUCACUGCCUCUCUGUUGCACUUCCAUUGACUUGACUAUUUGUUUUUUUUUUUUUUUU
rnacentral:misc_RNA from 1 species